ensembl:snoRNA SNORA70 Small nucleolar RNA SNORA70
UAGUAGUCAAUUAAGCUGACUGGGUUCUUUUCCUUGUGGUGGCCCAGUGUGCAACGGCUGCAAACAGCAACCUCUUUGGUAGUGUAGUAACCUGAUGCUUGUACAGGUGGCUUCCAAGGGACCUUGGAGACAGUU